rnacentral:rRNA from 2 species
GGAUCCAGACUUUGAUCCUGGCUCAGGAUGAACGCUAGCCACAGGCUUAACACAUGCAAGUCGAGGGGAAACGACAUCGAAAGCUUGCUUUUGAUGGGCGUCGACCGGCGCACGGGUGAGUAACGCGUAUCCAACCUGCCCACCACUUGGGGAUAACCUUGCGAAAGUAAGACUAAUACCCAAUGACGUCUCUAGAAGACAUCUGAAAGAGAUUAAAGAUUUAUCGGUGAUGGAUGGGGAUGCGUCUGAUUAGCUUGUUGGCGGGGUAACGGCCCACCAAGGCUACGAUCAGUAGGGGUUCUGAGAGGAAGGUCCCCCACAUUGGAACUGAGACACGGUCCAAACUCCUACGGGAGGCAGCAGUGAGGAAUAUUGGUCAAUGGACGAGAGUCUGAACCAGCCAAGUAGCGUGCAGGAUGACGGCCCUAUGGGUUGUAAACUGCUUUUAUAAGGGAAUAAAGUGAGUCUCGUGAGGCUUUUUGCAUGUACCUUAUGAAUAAGGACCGGCUAAUUCCGUGCCAGCAGCCGCGGUAAUACGGAAGGUCCGGGCGUUAUCCGGAUUUAUUGGGUUUAAGGGGAGCGUAGGCCGGAGAUUAAGCGUGUUGUGAAAUGUAGACGCUCAACGUCUGCACUGCAGCGCGAACUGGUUUCCUUGAGUACGCACAAAGUGGGCGGAAUUCGUGGUGUAGCGGUGAAAUGCUUAGAUAUCACGAAGAACUCCGAUUGCGAAGGCAGCUCACUGGAGCGCAACUGACGCUGAAGCUCGAAAGUGCGGGUAUCGAACAGGAUUAGAUACCCUGGUAGUCCGCACGGUAAACGAUGGAUGCCCGCUGUUGGUCUGAAUAGGUCAGCGGCCAAGCGAAAGCAUUAAGCAUCCCACCUGGGGAGUACGCCGGCAACGGUGCAACUCAAAGGAAUUGACGG